AACAACACUCGAGAUAUACCAAACUAUAGAACAUUCUCACUUCUCUGAUAAUUUAAAUUCUUCAGUCUUGCUCGUGGUUAAAAUAUCAAGCCAAAAAUUGUUACAUAAAUUUAUAAAAUUAAAUUAACCCCCAGUGUAAAUUUGGCAAUAUUUAAAAAUGAAUAUGAAAAUUCUUUAUACAACAGUACUGCAUUGGGAACGAUCUGAUUAUAAAAUUGUUGCAUCUUAUCCGUUGUUGGAUGUGUCAGUGUAUAGAGAUGUUGUGCUCGGAGCGAUUAAAGACUUUAAACCAGUUGAAGAUGAAAAAAUUAGCAUUACCUGUGAUAAAUAUAUUGUACAUAUUUUAGCUGAAGAAUUACAUUAUGCUUGCUUGACAUUGGCUCAAGAAUCACCAAUUGAAGAAUCAGAGACUGCAUCAUGGGCUCAUGAAUAUUUAGAAAAAGUUCAAACAAUUUAUCGAGAGUUACCAAUAUUAGCUGAUCUUUCACGUGACUUGACGCAUAUUUCCAGUGAUGAUUUAUCUAAUCCUCUCAAAAAAAUGAUGGAAAAUAGCUGCAAUGGUACAAAAAACUUACCUGCAAUUUGGAAUGAUCUAGCUGAAGCUCGAACGGUGCUACUUGAAUCAGUGCAAAAAUUAAUCGAUCGAGGACAAAGACUUGAUGAUUUACUCAAGAAAACCCAGACCCUCGAGAUAAAGGUUCGAAAAGACUUUCGAUUAAAAUCAAGGUCAUCAGAAAAAAAAAACAAAAAUUUAUUUAUUACUGUGUUCACGACUAUUUUAAUGUUGAUAUUGACUAUUACAUUUAUUGUUCUUUUGUACAUUGAAAUUUAUAGAUAAUAAAAAGAAAAAAAAAAUUACAAAAAUCUCAGAAAUUUUUGAUGAUUAUUUUACAACAAAAUUAAUAUUUUUUUAUGGAAUUUAUUUAUGAUGAAAUUGAAAAUUUACUUACUCAAGUUGAUCGGCAUGCAACAAGUCGUUUUGAAUCGGCAAAAAAAAUUCAGUUGUGGUUUCGUAAAAUAAUCAGGGAUAUUUGCGAGAAGAAAAUAAAUGCAGCGAGUAUAAUUAGACGUGAAUUAAACACAAAAAUUGCUUUAAAAAAAAAACAACAAGCUUUAGAACUUAAAAAUUAUACAAAUAAAUGUGCAAUUAAAAUUCAAGCACUGUGGCGAGGUUAUUGGCAGCGAAAAAAUGGCAUAGAUUUACC